rnacentral:rRNA from 1 species
AACGAACGCUGGCGGCAUGCCUAACACAUGCCAGUCGAACGAGACCUUCGGGUCUAGUGGCGCACGGGUGCGUAACGCGUGGGAACCUGCCCUUAGGUUCGGAAUAACUCCCCGAAAGGGGUGCUAAUACCGGAUAAUGUCUUCGGACCAAAGAUUUAUCGCCUUUGGAUGGGCCCGCGUUGGAUUAGCUAGUUGGUAGGGUAAAAGCCUACCAAGGCGACGAUCCAUAGCUGGUCUGAGAGGAUGAUCAGCCACACUGGGACUGAGACACGGCUCAGACUCCUACGGGAGGCAGCAGUGGGGAAUAUUGGACAAUGGGCGAAAGCCUGAUCCAGCAAUGCCGCGUGAGUGAUGAAGGCCUUAGGGUUGUAAAGCUCUUUUACCCGGGAUGAUAAUGACAGUACCGGGAGAAUAAGCUCCGGCUAACUCCGUG